rnacentral:rRNA from 1 species
UAUUAAAGUUGUUGCAGUUAAAAAGCUCGUAGUUGGAUCUCGGGCUCGCCGGCCGCGCGGUCUCGCAGGUUAUCUAGGCACUGUCCGCCUGCGGUGCACUGCCGUCGGCGCCCAACCGGCGGGGGGACCGGCCCUGAACCAGCCGCGUCCUGCGCGAGCAGCCGCGGGUGCCCUUAACUGGGUGGCCCGAGGCACCCGCCCGUUUUACUUUGAAAAAAUUGGAGUGUUCAAGGCAGGCUUCAGACGGCCUGAAUAAUGGUGCAUGGAAUAAUGGAAUAGGAUCUCGGUUCUAUUUUGUUGGUUUUCGGAACUCGAGAUAAUGAUUAAGAGGGACAGACGGGGGCAUCCGUACUGCGGCGUUAGAGGUGAAAUUCUUGGAUCGCCGCAAGACGAACUACUGCGAAAGCAUUUGCCAAGAAUGUUUUCAUUAAUCAAGAACGAAAGUCAGAGGUUCGAAGACGAUCAGAUACCGUCCUAGUUCUGACCAUAAACGAUGCCGACUAGCGAUCCGCCGGAGUUGUACCUAUGACCCGGCGGGCAGCU